rnacentral:lncRNA from 1 species
GAGGGCUAUUCUCUGAACCACUUCACAUGAUUUGAUAUGUUUCCUUCCCCGUCCUCUCACUGUCUUGCGUUGUCGGAUGUUUGCUAAGCAUCUUUCUGUGUACCCCUCUCGCCCCCCUGUCGAGCUCCAGUUCGCCAUGUUCCACUCUCCCCUCCACCGUAUAAUAUGACCUCUCGAGCGAUCAACACGGGAAUGAAAAGUGGAGCAAGUAAUGAAGUGGCUGGAUAUGUCUGUAUCAACAAAGAAACAAAAAAUUGGUGCAAGAGAUUAAGCGGCCUGGAAGCUUUUAGUCAUGCUAAAGAGAUCUGGGUUUCCACUUUUGAGAGAGAGAGAG